AAUGAAUUUGAUUUAGUUUAGUGGCGGACGGGUGAGUAACGCGUGAGUAACCUGCCUUCAAGAGGGGGAUAACAUUCUGAAAAGAAUGCUAAUACCGCAUGACAUAUCGGAAUCACAUGAUUUUGAUAUCAAAGAUUUUAUCGCUUGAAGAUGGACUCGCGUCCGAUUAGUUAGUUGGUGAGGUAACGGCUCACCAAGACCGCGAUCGGUAGCCGGACUGAGAGGUUGAACGGCCACAUUGGGACUGAGACACGGCCCAGACUCCUACGGGAGGCAGCAGUGGGGGAUAUUGCGCAAUGGGGGCAACCCUGACGCAGCAACGCCGCGUGAAGGAUGAAGGUUUUCGGAUUGUAAACUUCUUUUAUUAAGGACGAAACUUGACGGUACUUAAUGAAUAAGCUCCGGCUAACUACGUGCCAGCAGCCGCGGUAAUACGUAGGGAGCAAGCGUUGUCCGGAUUUACUGGGUGUAAAGGGUGCGUAGGCGGCUUUGCAAGUCAGAUGUGAAAUCUAUGGGCUCAACCCAUAAACUGCAUUUGAAACUGUAGAGCUUGAGUGAAGUAGAGGCAGGCGGAAUUCCCCGUGUAGCGGUGAAAUGCGUAGAGAUGGGGAGGAACACCAGUGGCGAAGGCGGCCUGCUGGGCUUUAACUGACGCUGAGGCACGAAAGCGUGGGUAGCA
rnacentral:rRNA from 1 species